rnacentral:rRNA from 1 species
AGCGAACGCUGGCGGCAGGCCUAACACAUGCAAGUCGAACGGAUCCUUCGGGAUUAGUGGCGGACGGGUGAGUAACACGUGGGAACGUGCCCUUUGGUUCGGAACAACUCAGGGAAACUUGAGCUAAUACCGGACGUGCCCUUCGGGGGAAAGAUUUAUCGCCAUUGGAGCGGCCCGCGUCUGAUUAGCUAGUUGGUGAGGUAAAGGCUCACCAAGGCUACGAUCAGUAGCUGGUCUGAGAGGAUGAUCAGCCACAUUGGGACUGAGACACGGCCCAAACUCCUACGGGAGGCAGCAGUGGGGAAUCUUGCGCAAUGGGCGAAAGCCUGACGCAGCCAUGCCGCGUGAAUGAUGAAGGUCUUAGGAUUGUAAAAUUCUUUCACCGGGGACGAUAAUGACGGUACCCGGAGAAGAAGCCCCGGCUAACUUCGUGCCAGCCGCCGCUGUAAAAC